GGGGUAACCCUUUGACUGGACAUGCCUCACCAGAGCCUGAAAGGGAUGAAGGACACGGGGAAAAAAAGUAAACGGGUCAGGACUACAAGACCAAAUGUGGACACCUACUCAUUGAACAUCACCAUUUCACAGGGACUAUGGAGCCCAAACCAUGGAUUCAGGCAGAUCUGGAGCUUUGGGCCGCUGAGGUACGAUGGUUCUCCCCAGAACGGUGCUCCGACUCGGGGUCGGACUGGGAUCGCGCAGGGGCGGCUGCCGGGGGCUCCAGCGGCAACUCCCAGCACACUGAACAGUCGACGUUGAGAUAUUUGCAGGGCUGCGACAACUAAUCUACAUGGUUGAUUAUUUGAAA